rnacentral:lncRNA from 1 species
AUUAGUUAGCCCCAUAUGGUUCCUAUUAAGUAUCUUAGAGCAUCUCCAACGGGAGAAAAAUGGAGCUCUCAUGACAGUCUCUCUAAAUUAUUGUGGAAAAAAAUAAAUCAUAAAGGUUUAAUACUGAGAGAAUCGUUUCUCUUAAGAGAGAUUUUGGAGCUGAAGAGAGACGCAUACGUGUCGUUGUUUUUCAGUAUUUCUUUUUUUUUUCCGUUUUUUUUCUCUACUAUCAUCUUUUCACUGGGACUUUGAGGAUCAUUGGACUUACCUGAAACGAGCUGGCCGACGUUGAUUUCGGUAGGCUUAUCGGCUCUGAGAUUCAUGGAUUCCAUACUUUGCAAGGUUUGUUCUUCUAAUCUUAUCGUUCGUCUUGAUUCAUAGAACUGUUUUUGUUUGUUCUUAAAUUCGAUUGUCUCUCGGUUUUCAUUGUCCUAUUGUUUUUCUUUUAUUUUGUCUGUCUGGGUUUUGGACUUUUACUCUCGAUUGCUCUUUGAUUCUCGUAGCUAUUGAACUAGAAUUUGCAAAAGGUUGUGGAAUUUGAGGUUCUAAUUGUGAUUUUAAUGUGGUGAUUUGGAAAAGAAUUUAGGGACAUUUUAGGUUGAUUAAGGGAUCUUGGCUUUGAUUUGAGAUACCCAUCUAACGUGAAGAAGCUAGUGAAGUAUAUUUCAACCCCACCUGUGAGAGAGCUUCAGGGGAUAAUCCAUUUGGGUGGGUAUUUUUCUGGCUGUACCACUUGCAGUUUCUCAAAAGUGAGUGAAGGAACUCAUUUUGGUUGAUUAUACUCUGAGUGAAGGAACUCAUUUUCGUUGGUUCUGCUCUUCUAAGUGAAGAGGGCUUACAAGCUUGGAAAGCAAGUUUCCAACAGAGUAAUAUCAUGUCUGACCGGAACCAUACAACGGAACAUUCCACAUAUCGUUUUACAUUUCUAUUGACCUUGACCUUUAUGUUUUAAUUUGUCAAGAAGUCUACUGCAUUUCUAUUCUCUCCUAUCUCAUUCCUCUUUAUUUACUUGCUUUCACAUGGUAAGGAAUUGUGAAUAUAUGGUCUCAGCCUCUCAUGUUAGACAUUUCUUCUAUGAUUCUCAUUUUUUCUAUUGUGAAUAAUUUUUUUUCCAGACAACUCUUUUAAAAGAGACUUACCA